AUUGAACGCUGGCGGCAUGCUUUACACAUGCAAGUCGAACGGUAACAGGCCGCAAGGUGCUGACGAGUGGCGAACGGGUGAGUAAUGCAUCGGAACGUGCCCAGUCGUGGGGGAUAACUACUCGAAAGAGUAGCUAAUACCGCAUACGAUCUAUGGAUGAAAGCGGGGGACCGUAAGGCCUCGCGCGAUUGGAGCGGCCGAUGUCAGAUUAGGUAGUUGGUGGGGUAAAGGCUCACCAAGCCAACGAUCUGUAGCUGGUCUGAGAGGACGACCAGCCACACUGGGACUGAGACACGGCCCAGACUCCUACGGGAGGCAGCAGUGGGGAAGUUUGGACAAUGGGCGCAAGCCUGAUCCAGCAAUGCCGCGUGCAGGAAGAAGGCCCUCGGGUUGUAAACUGCUUUUGUACGGAACGAAACGGCUCUGGUUAAUACCCGGGGCUAAUGACGGUACCGUAAGAAUAAGCACCGGCUAACUACGUG
rnacentral:rRNA from 1 species